GCAUAUCAAUAAGCGGAGGAAAAGAAACCAACAGGGAUUACCUCAGUAACGGCGAGUGAAGCGGUAAAAGCUCAAAUUUGAAAUCUGGCUCUUUUAGAGUCCGAAUUGUAAUUUGUAGAAGAUGCUUCGGGUGUGGUUCCGGUCUAAGUUCCUUGGAACAGGACGUCAUAGAGGGUGAGAAUCCCGUAUGUGACUGGAUACCUAUGCUCAUGUGAAGCUCUUUCGACGAGUCGAGUUGUUUGGGAAUGCAGCUCAAAAUGGGAGGUAUAUUUCUUCUAAAGCUAAAUAUUGGCCAGAGACCGAUAGCGCACAAGUAGAGUGAUCGAAAGAUGAAAAGCACUUUGGAAAGAGAGUUAAACAGUACGUGAAAUUGUUGAAAGGGAAGCGCUUGCAAUCAGACUUGCACUUGGUGUUCAUCAGGGUCUCGUACCCUGUGUACUUCAUCAAGUUCAGGCCAGCAUCAGUUUGAGUGGUUAGAUAAAGGCUUAGAGAAUGUGGCCCUCUUCGGGGGGUGUUAUAGCUCUAGGUGCAAUGUAGCCUACUUGGACUGAGGACCGCGCUUCGGCUAGGAUGCUGGCGUAAUGGUUGUAAGCGACCCGUCUUGAAACACGGACCAAGGAGUGUACCUAAUAUGCGAGUGUUUGGGUGUUAAACCCAUACGCGUAAUGAAAGUGAACGCUGGUGAGAACCCUUAAGGGUGCAUCAUCGACCGAUCUUGAUGUCUUCGGAUGGAUUUGAGUAAGAGCAUAUUGGGUGCGACCCGAAAGAUGGUGAUCUAUACGUGAAUAGGGUGAAGCCAGAGGAAACUCUGGUGGAGGCUCGCAGCGGUUCUGACGUGCAAAUCGAUCGUCAAAAUUUGCGUAUAGGGGCGAAAGACUAAUCGAACCAUCUAGUAGCUGGUUCCUGCCGAA
rnacentral:rRNA from 1 species